rnacentral:rRNA from 1 species
UGGGGAAUUUUGCACAAUGGGGGAAACCCUGAUGCAGCGACGCCGCGUGAUUUAGAAGGCCUACGGGCUGUAAAAAUCUUUUCUAUGGGAAGAAAAUGACAGUACCAUAGGAAUAAGGACCGGCUAAUUACGUGCCAGCAGCCGCGGUAAUACGUAAGGUCCGAGCGUUGUCCGGAAUCAAUGGGCGUAAAGGGUACGUAGGCGGGUAAGCAAGUUAGAAGUGAAAUCCUAUAGCUCAACUAUAGUAAGCUUUUAAAACUGCUCAUCUUGAGGUAUGGAAGGGAAAGUGGAAUUCCUAGUGUAGCGGUGAAAUGCGCAGAUAUUAGGAGGAAUACCGGUGGCGAAGGCGACUUUCUGGCCAUAACCUGACGCUGAGGUACGAAAGCGUGGGUAGCAAACAGG